UAAAAAAAAAGGGAGAUAUUAGAUGUACAAAAAGCAAUAGAACAACCAGAAGCUGAGCAACCUUGCUUCAAAAUAAAUGUUGUUUUAUGGUUUAAUGGACACCAAAAGAUCCUAAAAGAACAUUUUGUUUAUUUCUAAGCCUUCACUCAGGAGGCAUCCAGUGUAGUUGUGUGAGGCUAAAACUCUCUCAUAAAUCAGACCCAUAUAGAAUAUUCAGAAAUUUAAAUAAAAGGGAGACUGGACCUGUGUUGAUUGUGCAAUGAAUACCAGGACCAGGUUGUAUGUGUGGAUGUGUAUAUAUAUAUAUAUA
rnacentral:misc_RNA from 1 species